GGCCCUGCUGCUGGCGCGGCGUGUGACGCAACGGGCGACGCGGCCCGGCAUUUUUCUCUAAAUCGGCAGUAAAUACAGCUGAGUAAAAUUAGCUUGGCUUUCUUCCUUCUUUUGUAACUGAACUGUUUUUAUUAAAAAUCCUAUUUGAAUAUGUAGAAAAAGUGGGGAUGUCCUGUAAUAGAUCGUAGCUUUUCUUGUUUACAGGGUGCUCAGAAAGCAUGCGUCCCUUAGAGUCCCACGGAAAGGUUCUCAGUGCGCUCUCUAUCAAGUGCUAUGAGUCUUGAUAAAUUGGAGAAGAGCCCAAGAGAAAUUUUUCAUCCCUUGAUAUAAAAGGGAUCGGUGAAUUUUAACUUUGGAGUCCUCUGUGCUAAGGAUGCUCAGCUUACCGAUGAUGAAAUGUUCAGUAAUGUAUUUGCUGCAGCUCUGCUUACCCAAGCUUUGGGUUCCUUCUGUCCCACUGGGAGUGGCCCAAUUUGGUUGCAUCUGGUGAAAUUCACCCUGAGACCUUACAGAACCAGCUCCAACUACGUGAGAGCCAUUUGCAGUUCUCUCCAGACACCUGGAGAAUGGGCGACGUUUCUGAGGAUCCGGCGAGCGUGCUUCUAUCAAAACUCCGUCUGUGAAAUUCCUGGGGAAAACCCUUCUGUGUCCUGAAGGGUUCAAACUCUGGUGAGGAUCCAGUUAUCAGGUGCUCACCUGGAUGGUUCCAGCUCCCAAAGGUAACACUUGUACU